ACACACACACACACACACACACACACACACUCCACGCACGCACACGCGGGGGGAGGCGGGGAGGGAGGGUGACGUCACUCCGCUCCGGCCCGGGGCGCAUCCCGGCGGGCAGCGGGGGGGGCAGGGCCGGGCCGCGCUGCUCCUGGCUGCCCGGGCCCGCCGACUUCGUCAAGUCGAGAUGCUCGUCGUCUCCCUCCCUCAGAACUUCCCUCGUUCCUCAAACACAGGGAAGGAAGAACUUGGAGAAUGUUCCUGAGAGUUUGUGACAACGUUCAUGAAGACAAAGAAAAGACAGGAAAAAAUGUUUGUAGGUAUUUCUACCAGUCCAGUGCUUUCAAACAUCAGAUGUUCUACUGGCUCAUCAAUCCAGUUGAAGCUACUGGAGCAUGUAAAUGCCACUGCACCUGCUCCUCUGCUCAUUGCUAUAAGGAUGCUCUUCAGCAUAGCCUAAUAAAUAUUUUGGUCUCUCUAUUCUGAUGUUACUAAGGAGAAAAACUACUUCCUGCAGAAUCUUACUCCCCUAUCUACUCAUAUAGAUCCAGGUGAUGUAAAGAUCAUGGAUGUAACAAGUAGUUGAACAGUCCCAGCUUUCUCAGCCUGUCCUCAUGGGAGAGGUUUUCCAUCCUUUGGAUCAUUUUUGUGGCUCUCCUCUGGAUGCACUCCAACAGGUCUAUGUCUCUCCUGUACUGAGGACUCCACAUCUUGGUGCAGUACUCCAGAUGACGUCUCAUCAAGGCAGAGUAGAGGAGCAGGAUGACCUCCCUUGACCUGCAGACCACACUUCUUUUGAUGCAGUCCAGGAUACAGAUAGCUUUCUGGGCUGCAAGCACACAUUGCUGGCUCAUGUCCAGUUUGCCAUUCACCAAUACUCCCAAGCCAUCAAGGGCUGCUCUCAAUCCUUUUGUCCUCCAGCUUGUAUUUAUAGUGGUGGUUGCCAUGACUCAACUCAAGAUGUUGCACUAGGAUUUGCUGAACCUCAUGAAUUUCACCUGUGGCCACUGAUCAAGCCUGUGUAGGUUUCUCUGUAUGGUACCCCAUCCCUCAGACUUGUUGACCACACUGCACAGCUUGGUGUCAUCUACAAACUUGCUAAGAAUGCACUCAAUCCUGCCAUCAAUAUCAAUGUGAUUUACUGAACAUGUAAAAGUACACUGCUCUUAGUACUGACCCCUGAGAAACACCACUCAUCACUGAUCUCCAUCCAGGUACUGAACCACUGACCAUCACUCUCUGGGUAUGAUUUCACAACUAGUUCCCCAUUGGCUGAACAGUCCACCCAUCAAAUCCUUACUUUUCUGGUUUGGAGAGGACAAUGGCCAGAAGCUAUCAAGUUGCUGAGAGAAGCCUGAGGACUGUUGAAUGGAACUUCAGGGCAUUGGGGCAGAUAGUUGAUGGACCAGAAGUGCAGGCAGUGUUUUCCUCUAUCCCCUCAGUGGCAGAGAGGGAUACUGAGAGGACCAGGAAAGUACAUGUCAUAAAUAUGUGUUUGAGAGGCUGACAUAAUUGCAAGAAUUUUUUAAUUUUUUAUUUUUUUGACCAUGUAGCCAUUUACUCAGCACCUUGCCAGAUGGCUGCAAAUGGGUUUCUCCUGUAUCAAAUGGGGAAACAGAUCCAAGCUCAGGAGCUAGCAGGGCUUGCUGAGAGGGCUUUAAGUUCGAUAUGAGGGGGGAAGGGGAUAAAACCAGCUUGCUAAAGAUGAGUCUGGGGGAAUAAUGAUGGGACUGGGGUGUGAGGAAAGGGGCUCCACUGAAGUGCAUCUGCACAAAUGCACACAGAAUGGGCAACAAACAGGAGGAGCUGGAAGCCAUCAUGCAGCAGACAAACUAUGACUUAGUUGCCAUUACUGAAACAUGGUGGAAUUGCUUCCAGAGCUAAAGUGCUGUAGUGGACGGCUACAGCAUCCACUAAGCUCUUCAAAAGGGACAGGCAAAAAAGGAGGAGUGGUUAUGUGGCCCUCUAUGAUAGAGAGGGCUUUGAUGUUGUUGAGCUCAAGGCUGGUAAUGAUAAAGUUGAAUCUCUGUGAGUAAGGAUCAGAGGGAGGGCCAACAAGGCUGACAUCCUGGUGGGAGUCUGUUAUAAACCACUUAGCUAGGAGGAAGAGAUGGACAAGGUGGUCUACAAGCAGAUGGCAGAAGUUGCACAGUCACCAGCCUUCAUUCUCAUGGAGGACUUCUUCAGUUGAAGUGAAGAAAAAGCAGUCUGAAAGGGUUCUAGAGUGUGUAGAAGAUAACUUCCUGACACAGCUGGUAAGAGAACAACAGGGAAAGCCCCCUGUUCACAAACAGAGAAGGACUGGUGAGAAGUGUGGAGGACAUGAACUGUCUUGGGCAGAGCAAACGUGAAAUAAUAAAGUUCUCAAUUGUUGGUGAAUUAAGGAGGGAAACAAGCAAAACCGCUACCUUGGUCUUCCAUACUUUCAACUGUUCAGGACACUGAUAGGAAGCAUCCCUUGGGAUUCGGUCCUGAAGGGUAAAGAUGUCCAAGAAAGCUGGAAGCUCCUCAAGAAGAAAGUCUUAAAGGCACAGGAACAGGCUGUCGCCCUGUGCUGCAACAUGAAGAAAAGAAGAACUGUGUGGAUGGGCAGAAACAUUUGCUGAGACUCCAGAAGAAAAAGAGAGCCUACCUCUUAUGGAAGAAGAAAUGGGAAACUCAAGGCAUCUAUGAACAAAUGGUUAAGAUAUACAGGGAUAAAAUUAGAAAGGCAAAAGCUCAGAUUGAAUUAAAUGUCACCACUGUGGUAAAAUGAACAAAAAGUUUUUAACAAAUAUAUUAACAGUAAGAGGAGAGCUAAGGAGAAUCUCCAGCCUUUACUGGAUGAGGACAGGAAUGUGAUCCCUGAGCAUAAUGAAAAGGCUGAAGUUCUCAACACAUUCUUUACACUUAUCUUUACAAGUCAGACCAGUUAUCUUUGAGGUAUAUUAAUCUCUGACCUGGAAGUCUGGGAUGGAGAGCAGAGUAAAUUCCCCAUGAUUCACAUGGAAAAAGUUUGAGACCUGUUAGUCUACCUGGACUGCCACAAGCUCAUGGGGCCAGACCCACCAAGGGUGCUGAGAGAACUGGUAGAGGUGAUUUCCAAGCCACUUUCCACCAUCUAUCAGAAUUCCUGGCCAACUGGAGAGGUCCCAGGGGAUUGGAGGCUUGUCAGUGUGACUUCCAUCUACAAGAAGGAAGGAUACAGGGAAAUACAGGCCUGUCAACCUGACCUUGAUGCCAGGAAUGAUAAUGGAGCAGAUCAUCUUGAGUGAGAUGACUCAGCAUCUGCAGGACAACUGGGGGAUCAGGCUUAGCCAGCAUGGGUUCAUGAAAGGCAGGUCCUGUCUGGCCAGCAAGAUCUUCUAUGGUUGAGUGACUCACCUGGUGGAUGAGAAAAAGGCUGCUGAUGUAGUCUUCACAGACUUCAACAAAGCCUUUGGCACUAUCUCCCACCAUAUUAUCUGAGGGAAUCUGAGGGCCACAAAGAUAUCAGAGGGCUAGAGCACCUUCUCUGUGAGAACAGGAUGAGAGAGCUGGGGCUCUUCACCCUGGAGAAGAGAAGGCUCUGGGGGGACCUUAUAGCAGCCUUUCAGUACCUGAAGGGGACCAACAGGAAAGAUAAGGAGGGACGUUAUAGAAGGGCAUGUAGUAACAGGACUGAGGGAAAUGGCUUUAAACUGGAAAAGGGUUAAUUUAGACUGGAUAUUAGGAAGAAAUUCUUUACUGUGAGGGUGGUGAGAUGUUGGAACAGGUUGCCUGGAGAGGUUGUGGAUGUCCUCACCCUGAUUAGGAGAUGUCCCUGUCUAUAGCAGGAGGGUUGAAAAUAGAUGAUCUUUAAAGUCCCUUCCAACCCAAACCACUCCAUGAAAAAAACAUCCAUGAAAAAACAUUGCCUGUUUUUUUCCAAUCACUGGGGACUUCACCUGACUGCCGUGACUUUUUAAAUGUCAUCAAGAGUGGCUUUGAGAUCACUUCAGCAAAUUCUCAGGAUUCUGGGAUGCAUCUCAUCAGCACUCAUAGACUUAAGGACAUUCAGAUUCCUAGGAGGUGGUGAAUCUGAUCUUUGCCUACAAUGGUAGGGGCUUCACUCUUCCAGUUCCCACCUUAUGAACCAUCUGCUAGAGAGCUGUGUGCACAAUAGUUUCUAGUGAAGACUGUGGCAAAAAGCGUUGUUGAGUACCUCAGCCUUCUCCCUGUAUGUUGUUAUUAGCCUGCCUGUAUUGCUCUCUAGGUGGAGUAUGCCCUCCUGGACUUUUCAAGUUUAAAUACAUACAGAAUCCUUUCAUAUUCUUCUUUGUAACCCUUUCCAAAUCAAGUUCCAAUUGGGUCUUGACUUUCCAGUCUACAUCCCUACACAACCCAGCAUUAUCUCAAAGCUUCCCUCAGGUUACCUGUCUCUGCUUUCACUGUCUGUGCAUUUUCUUCUUACUCUCCAGUUUGAUUAGAAGAUCCUGGUUCAAACAUGCUGUUAUCUUGCCUUCUUUUUCCCUAAAGAAAGCUUCCUUAAAGAUCUGCCAGCUCUGCUCCAAUCCUCUGUCCCUCAGGACAGUUUUUCAAGAUAUUUUGUUGACUAACUCCCUGAAGAGCUGAAAGUUGGCUCUCCUAAAAUUAAGCUUCCUGAUUUCACUCUUCGCCUGUCUGAUAUACCUCAAAAGGUUGUGAACUCCGCCAUCAUAUGGUCACUGUAUCUCAG
ensembl:lncRNA